GAUGAACGCUGGCGGCGUGCCUAAUACAUGCCAGUCGAGCGAACGGACGAGAAGCUUGCUUCUCUGAUGUUAGCGGCGGACGGGUGAGUAACACGUGGAUAACCUACCUAUAAGACUGGGAUAACUUCGGGAAACCGGAGCUAAUACCGGAUAAUAUUUUGAACCGCAUGGUUCAAAAGUGAAAGACGGUCUUGCUGUCACUUAUAGAUGGAUCCGCGCUGCAUUAGCUAGUUGGUAAGGUAACGGCUUACCAAGGCAACGAUGCAUAGCCGACCUGAGAGGGGGGUCGGCCCCACUGGAACUGAGACCCGGUCCAGACUCCUACGGGAGGCAGCAGUAGUGAAUCUUCCGCAAUGGGCGAAAACCUGACGGAGCAACGCCGCGUGAGUGAUGAAGGUCUUCGGAUCGUAAAACUCUGUUAUUAGGGAAGAACAUAUGUGUAAGUAACAGUGCACAUCUUGACGGUACCUAAUCAGAAAGCCACGGCUAACUACGUG
rnacentral:rRNA from 1 species